UCCCUGGUGGUAGAGUGGUUAGGAUUUGGCACUUUCACUGCCAUGGCUUGGGUUCAAUUCCUGGUCUAGGAA
rnacentral:tRNA from 1 species